UACGUAGGGUGCAAGCGUUGUCCGGAAUUAUUGGGCGUAAAGAGCUCGUAGGCGGUUUGUCGCGUCGGCUGUGAAAACUCGGGGCUCAACCCCGAGCCUGCAGUCGAUACGGGCAGACUAGAGUGCUGUAGGGGAGACUGGAAUUCCUGGUGUAGCGGUGGAAUGCGCAGAUAUCAGGAGGAACACCAAUAGCGAAGGCAGCUCGCUGGGACGGUACUGACGCUAAGGCGCGAAAGCGUGGGGAGCGAACAGG
rnacentral:rRNA from 1 species